AACGAACGCUGGCGGCAGGCUUAACACAUGCAAGUCGAGCGCCCCGCAAGGGGAGCGGCAGACGGGUGAGUAACGCGUGGGAAUCUGCCCAUCUCUACGGAAUAACGCAUGGAAACGUGUGCUAAUACCGUAUACGUCCUUCGGGAGAAAGAUUUAUCGGGGAUGGAUGAGCCCGCGUUGGAUUAGCUAGUUGGUGGGGUAAAGGCCUACCAAGGCGACGAUCCAUAGCUGGUCUGAGAGGAUGAUCCGCCACACUGGGACUGAGACACGGCCCGGACUCCUACGGGAGGGAGGAGUGGGGAAUAUUGGACAAUGGGCGCAAGCCUGAUCCAGCCAUGCCGCGUGAGUGAUGAAGGCCCUAGGGUUGUAAAGCUCUUUCACCGGUGAAGAUAAUGACGGUAACCGGAGAAGAAGCCCCGGCUAACUUCGUGCCAGCCGCCGCGGUAACAC
rnacentral:rRNA from 1 species